GACGAACGCUGGCGGCGUGCCUAAUACAUGCAAGUCGAACGCACAGUUUAUACCGUAGCUUGCUACACCAUAGACUGUGAGUUGCGAACGGGUGAGUCACGCGUAGGUAACCUGCCUGGUAGCGGGGGAUAACUAUUGGAAACGAUAGCUAAUACCGCACAAUAUUAAUUAUUGCAUGAUAAUUAAUUGAAAGGUGCAAUUGCACCACUACCAGAUGGACCUGCGUUGUAUUAGCUAGUAGGUGAGGUAACGGCUCACCUAGGCGACGAUACAUAGCCGACCUGAGAGGGUGAUCGGCCACACUGGGACUGAGACACGGCCCAGACUCCUACGGGAGGCAGCAGUAGGGAAUCUUCGGCAAAGGACGAAAGGCUGACCGAGCAACGCCGCGUGAGGGAAGAAGGUUUUCGGAUCGGAAAGCUCUGUUGUAAGAGAAGAACGGGUGUGAGAGUGGAAAGUUCACACUGUGACGGUAUCUUACCAGAAAGGGACGGCUAACUACGUG
rnacentral:rRNA from 1 species